CCUACGUGAGGCAGCAGUGGGGAAUAUUGGGCAAUGGGCGCAAGCCUGACCCAGCAACGCCGCGUGAAGGAAGAAGGCUUUCGGGUUGUAAACUUCUUUUAAGAGGGACGAGCAGAAGACGGUACCUCUUGAAUAAGCCACGGCUACCUACGUGCCAGCAGCCGCGGUAAUACGUAGGUGGCAAGCGUUGUCCGGAGUGACGGGGUGUAAAGGGCGUGUAGCCGGGCUGACAAGUCAGAUGUGAAAUCCCGUGGCUCAACCACGGAACUGCAUUUGAAACUGGCGGUCUUGAGUAUCGGAGAGGCAGGCGGAAUUCCUAGUGUAGCGGUGAAAUGCGUAGAUAUUAGGAGGAACACCAGUGGCGAAGGCGGCCUGCUGGACGACAACUGACGGUGAGGCGCGAAAGCGUGGGGAGCAAACAGGAUUAGAUACCCGAGUAGUC
rnacentral:rRNA from 1 species